GAAGAAACUGAGGUUAAGGUCGCGAUGCUCUGGCCAGCAUCACAGGUAAACGAUUUUGGCAGUGCCCGGAGAAAGAUAGAAGGGCCUCUCUCUGAGAUCGGGUCCUCCUCCUGCAGGGCAGCAGAGUGGAAGCCAGGGCCUGGGACCCUCUGGCUGGGCAAGGAGGGACUGGAGUCCGGCUCCCGGUGACCCCGUCCCCAGUGCCAGCGGUGGGGUCGCCUGUGGCGGCCCGGACAGGCCACGGGUCCCUCUCCCCAAGUCCCAUUACGUUGUAUUUAUGUUUCAUUUUAUAGUUUUUUUUUCCUCCUCCCUUAUUAUUGUCUCACUCUGGGGGAGGCAAAGGAUAUAAUAUAUUCAUCUUUAUUAUACCAAAUCUGUGUGAAGCAUUUAAUAAAACGCUGUUUCCACACAGCCAGGGAUA
ensembl:lncRNA LBX1-AS1 LBX1 antisense RNA 1